GCCCAGCCGUGGGGAACGCCCUCCCGGGAUGAAGCGCUUCCCGGAAAACAUAUAAUGCAAACAGCCAUAUAAUAAAUGACGACGUCUCAAUGCCAGGAUGUCCUGGGCCAUUACAAGUUGCCAAGCCCUGGGCUGACACCUGGACCACCAGCCCGUUCAUUCAACGCUGACAACUACUCCGGGAUGGGACCCUUAUUUUACAGACCAAGAGACACAAGCACCGAGGAGCAAAUGUACCCUUAUAGCUCUGGCUGGACAGUUGUGAUGGUUUACAUCUGUAGCGUCCGUCCUUUGGGGGCAGAGACAGGAGGAUUAUUAAUUUGAAGCCAGACUGGGU
rnacentral:lncRNA from 1 species